GGAGGGGAGAAAACUAAAAGAGAGAGAGAGAGAGAGAGAGAGGAAGAGAGAGAGAGAGAGAGAGAGAGAGAGAGAGAGAGAGAGAGAGAGAGAGAGAAGGGUUGGUGGAUGAUGGAUGAGAGAUUGAAAUAGAAAAUGAUACUUUUUCAUGAUUCCCGUUUAAGCGUGCAAACACGAAGGAGAAAAGAAAAGUAAAUAAAUAAAUAAAAGAAAAGUAAAAAAAAAAAAAAAUUAAGAAUAAAAAGAGAGAAGAAAAAGAAGAGACCACCAAAUGUAAUAAGAGCAGCUCCUUGUUGUUGUUGUUGUUGUAUAUAGUUGUACAAACUGACGAGAUUAAAAAAAAAAGACACAACGAACGGAACGAAGUCUCGACGAGAGUCCUUCGCAUUUCUUUUUUAUUUUUAUUUCUAUUUUUACUUUUAUUUUCUUUUUCAUUUCUUUUAUUGUUCUUUUUUUAUUUACUUGUUUCUUUUUCUCGUUUCUUGCGAAUAUGUAGAAAUUCUUAUUUCACAUUAUACAUCCAUUGUCUUCUUAGUGAUAUGCGCUAUAUAUGUGUUUUCAAGCGCCCCUUUCGUUUUGGACUCUCGUGACUUUUGCACCGAAGUGUCGGGGAGGGAUGAUAAUGAGAGAGCGAUAGAGAAAGAGAGAGAAAGAAAGAGAGGAAGAUAUACGUAAGAAUGAGGAAAAAGAAAGAGGAGGAGGAAGAGGAGGAGGAAUCGAUGAAAAAAAAAUGAUAAAUAGCAAUACGCGAUCGUACAUACGUGAUAUAUUUCUUUUUCUUUCUUUGUUUAAUCUUAUACGAGUCAAACGGAUCGAUAUCCUGAAUGAGAGAGUGAGUGAGAGUGAGAGAGAGCGAGAGAGAGCGAGAGAGAGAGAGAGAGAGAGAGAGAGUGAGUGAGAGAGUAUGCAGAGAUCUUACUACGUAUUGUCUAUAAUAAUACAUUGUAAGUGUGAUAUAUAAAAAAAAAUCGAACAGAUAAACCGUUAGAGCGUGUAAAGAAUGAUAUGACCUUUGUACGAAAAAAUUCAAUGUUUGUCUUAUUAUACAUUACACCGAACUUUUUUUAAUGGCCAAGAUUUGUGUGAAUGUGUUCUUUCUUUCUUUCUUUGUUUCUUUUCUUUUCUUUUCUUUUCUUUUCUUCUUUUCUCUGUUUUUUUUUUUUUCAUUUCUUAUUUCUUUCUUUCAAAAAAAGAAUGAGAUGUCUUGGCUUGGCUAGAUCGUCGCCAUUUUUCGUACUACGUUAUUCAGUUAAAGAUAUUAUGAAAAGAAGUUAGACCAUUCAAUCGAUUUUCUGUCUUAUUGUUUCAUUGAUUUUUACGUAUAAAAAAACAAACAAAUUUUUCGGACGACUUCGUUCUUCUCGUGUCGUUCUUCGAGCUCUUUUUUCUUUUUUUUUCUCUCUCGAUAAGACGAGUCGAUGAUCCGAAUUUCGAUAAGGACGAAUUUUUGUCGAUGAAAUUCACAUUUUUCUAAUGCUUCGAUGCUCGAUACCAGAGAUAUAUAUAUUUAUAUUUAUAUAUAUCAUAUAUAAAUAUAUAUGUACUACGUUUUUCGGAUUUACUACUCGUUCUUAUCACUCCUUUUUUGUUAUUAUUAUUAUUAUUAUUAUUAUUAUUAUUUUACUAUUAUUAUUAUUAUUUGUUUCAUUUGUUUGUUAACUUAUAACUUGUCUGUUCGAUGUUCGAAGAACGAAACGGAUUUUAUUUAUUUCUUUUCACUUUUCCUUUUUUUCAUUCUUUUUUUUCUUUUUUUUUUUUUUGUCUUUUGAUGAGACACGAGAGACAAAAAAUACGUGUCCUCAUCAUUGUCGCCGAAAAUGAUAUAUACGCGCGUGUGUGUGAGUAUGUGAAAUGUUUGCGAAAGGGUGAAAGAGCUUUUUCACGCGAGUUUCCACCAUUUUUAACUAAUUAAUAAUUUUAUCACGCUCGUUCCGUUCUUUUUUUUUUCUUUUUUCUUUUUUUUUUUUUUUUUUCUACGACUUCUGUAUAGUUAACCGCAAACACACGAAAGCGCAAACACGAGAAAAAACAAUACGUCGAAUAGCAAUUGUAGUAGCGAAUAAUGAAAUUUUCUAGUACAUAUACCAUACCUCGAAAAAACGCGUAACACUGUACUCUUUAUCGUAUGUAUGCAGCAAGCAAAGGCAAAAAUAUAUGUGUUGAUGUGUAA